UUUAAAUUAAUUUUAUUCUCUCUCUCUUAUUUUUUUAUUUUUACCUCUUCUUCUUCCACAUAGAGCUUCUUCUUCUUCUUCCAAAAACAAACCCAAAAUAAACUCAGCUCUCUCUCCAUCUCUAGACCUUCGACGACGCUGAACAAUUGAAAUUGAACAAAAACCCCAAACUCCAACCUUGAACAACUAUAAGAAGAAGAAGAAGAAGAAGAAGAAGAAGAAAAGCCCCAAAACGACGAAUAUGCCCCUUUUCUCUCUACCAUCUUCUUCUUCACACCCAAAUUAAUCACCAUAACCACCACUGAGCUCUCUUUCCAUACCCAACCACCAAUCCCAUUGCAAUCAACACCAAGCGUAAAUGCCUUCAUAUCUUCAUGAAAUUACCCUUUACAUUCUCAGGAAACCCACUUCAUCACUAUAGAUUUACUAGGCCUGAUAUGGAAAUACAUAGUGGAGAAUGAACAACUCUUUCAUUCUUACGAAACUCUGCUCGUCAGCUAACUUCGGCGGCUAAAAUCUCCAUCUUCUGUUGCUCAGAUAGUCAUGACUUCUUCAUAAAAGUUGUUCAAAAUCGAGUCUUCUAAACUGUAUUCAAAUUUCAUGAAAAUCCAGCGGUUGAAUCUUCCAAAAUCAAGUCCCUCUUCGAAAUGGGUUGAGUUCUUCUCUUGAGAUUGAAUUCAAUUCAUGAAGUACUCAUUUCAAUCUUGAGCAAGUUGAAGCCAUCAAGGAGAGAGAGGCAAAAGGAGAACAUAUGCAAUCUGGGUACCUCGCCCAGCCCAACACCAACGCCGCCCAAGCUGCCCAGCGCCUGCGCCGAAACCCGCCUAUCUGUUCUAGGUAUUUGAGUUUUUGGUGAGGUUUUGCUGGGUGAAGUGUUUUGAUUCAAAAUCUCAUUUGGGUAUUUGAGUUUUUGUGAGGUUUUCUAUCAAGAUCAAAUUUUUUGGUUUAUGUUAGUUUUGGGGCACACAUUUUGAUUGGAAUUGGAUCUAGUGUGGUUUGGACUUUGGAAUGAAGAAAGUGAUGGGACUGUACUCGAUUGAGCUCACUAAGUUGUGAAUGAAUCGAAAAAAUUGAAUUGGAUUAGGUGUGGUUGGUAUUUGGUAUUUGUGAUUAUAUGGAAAGUGUUGAUGUAAUGAAAGUUGCAUGCAAGUAAUUAUAGUUCUUAAUUAUCGAACAUGGUUCUGCAGCAGUUAACGAAAUUCGGGAUCUAGUGAUGAUUCUGGUCAUGGGUAUGCAUAUUCUCCAUCCAGCGAGAAGAUGCUGGAGGAUGAGAGCUUCCGGAUAAUAGAUGGUCUUUAACCAGACAGAGAUAAACAGAGGAGAUGAGAGAUGUGGAAGAAGAAGAGCAAGUUCUACACUUCAUCCUCCAAGUUCCCUGAUGCCUUCUCUCUAGAGGAUUGUGUUCCUCCCAUAUUUCUCAAUUAUGAUAUCUCUUCCUUCGGUGGCUGUCAGUGGCAAUAUGAAGCCUGACCAAGAAUUCUAAAGCCACUCCACAAAUUUUAUUCUUCCAUAAAGGGUAGGAUUGCAACGUUCUCAGAAAAGUUACGAGAUUGACAGGAAGCAUAGAAAACUUGCUCGAGGUAGCAGAGAUGCAGCCAUGGAGAGGAACAUGAAGAUAUUUAAGUUUUUUUUUUAUGUUGUAUUUUAUUUGAAAUUGUAUAUGAAUUGUACAAUACAUUUUAGAGAUAAGUGGUUGUAGCUAGAUCAAAUUGUUAUUUUUUUUAUAUAUACUCCCAAUUUUGCCAUUGAUAUUGGUGGCAUUGAGAAUACACACUGAUUCAGUAA